AAGCUUUUAUCUCUCACAGCUUGUGUUGCUGAAAGAAAACCGCGCGACACAUCGAAGAGCAAGCAAACAUCGGUCAGUGUGGUCAAUUGUGUGGCUGAGCGAACGCUCAUAUUGAAAUAGAUGAAAAGCUGAUGAACGAGUGAAGGAGUCCACCAGAGUAUCUUCGUUGAAAACGUUUACCGACGAGACGCAAAGCUUCACAAGAGAAACAAACAGAUCGCGGUUAUCUAAAAUUGUCCGUUAAGUCGUCUUUCACACUCAGCUUUGCAUGGAUCACUUUACAAUACUAAUCUGGCUCAUUGGAGUGGUCCUGUUUACCCCUUUAUGUAUCAAUGCACGAGCACCUACCAUGGAGGAACCCCCUGAGUGCAGACCUCGUAAAAGCCAUCCGUGCUCGAGAUAUUGCGGUGAUUUAAUGAAAAUCGUUUAUACGAGCGUGUGCUUCUCCGAUUCAAGACGGCGACCACGCCCAGGUUCAUCAUUUAAUGAGAUCAGGCUUAAGAGGGAAGAUGCGUCAAAGUUUCUCUCUUUGUCUCUCAGCCCACGCAAACGUACAAAGGGAUCUACAUCUAGACCAACUACUCUGCCGGAAGAAUGUUGCGGUGAGACAUGUAAUUUGGAGGAGGUUCGCGAAUAUUGUUAACUGUGCACGUGGCGAGAAAUGAUGAUGUCUGUUAACUAUCUAACUACUGUUGUAGACGAGGAAUUAAGCAAAUAGACGGUGGUAAG